ACAAGAUCCUCGUGCUUUUUUUUUCAGGGGGCUGGGGGGAGAAUGCAGCUGCAACCGGAGCAAUUGAGAAUCAAAGAUCAAAUUACUCUUUGCAAGAAGAAUGCUGAAUGAGUUACAUGUCUUGUAAUUAGCAGAAUGGAGACUUCAUCCUCAACAUACAGGAUUCUGAAGACUAUCCACCCUCAAGAUUACCAUCAUUUUCUGUAGUUUCCAUUAUUCAUUUUCUGAUAUAGCUGUAAAACUAACCUGAAAAGUUUCCAAAAUAAAUCACUUUAAAAAUGUG